UGGGGAAUCUUGCGCAAUGGGCGAAAGCCUGACGCAGCCAUGCCGCGUGAAUGAUGAAGGUCUUAGGAUUGUAAAAUUCUUUCACCGGGGACGAUAAUGACGGUACCCGGAGAAGAAGCCCCGGCUAACUUCGUGCCAGCAGCCGCGGUAAUACGAAGGGGGCUAGCGUUGCUCGGAAUUACUGGGCGUAAAGGGCGCGUAGGCGGACAUUUAAGUCAGGGGUGAAAUCCCAGAGCUCAACUCUGGAACUGCCUUUGAUACUGGGUGUCUUGAGUGUGAGAGAGGUAUGUGGAACUCCGAGUGUAGAGGUGAAAUUCGUAGAUAUUCGGAAGAACACCAGUGGCGAAGGCGACAUACUGGCUCAUUACUGACGCUGAGGCGCGAAAGCGUGGGGAGCAAACAGGAUUAGAUACCCCCGUAGUCCCUGAGCGGGCUGGCAAGGCGCAU
rnacentral:rRNA from 1 species